GCGAGUUUUCCUCCAUUUCUGCUCGGCUGCCCGGAGCCCUGUUCUGUGAGCUCGCAAUGAGUCGUCGAGCCACGGAGCAGGAGGGGAGGACCGAGCCGGCCUGGAGGAUAGGGGACAUAGAGAAUCAAAGGAUGCAGAAAGGGAGGAGAGGAGGGUUGAGGAGGCAGAAUCAGGGGAUAGGUUGGAGAAGGUUUGAGCAGAGGGAAGAGAUGAUAGGAUGGAAGAGGAGAGAGUAGUGGGAGAGAGAGAGCGAAGGUUGAGACGGCACAAUACCAUCCGAGUAGGGGCAGAGUGAGAAGUGUUGGAUGAGAGCGAGAGGGAAAAGGAUACAAGGUAGUGGUCGGAGACUUGGAGGGGAGUUGCAAUGAGAUUAGUGGACGAACAGCAUCUAGUAAAGAUGAGGUCAAGCGUAUUGCCUGCCUUGUGAGUAGGGGGGGAAGGUGAGAGGGUGAGGUCAAAAGAGGAGAGGAGUGGAAAGAAGGAGGCAGAGAGGAAUGAGUCAAAGGUAGACGUGGGGAGGUUAAAGUCACCCAGAACUGUGAGAGGUGAGCCAUCCUCAGGAAAGGAACUUAUCAAGACGUCAAGCUCAUUGAUGAACUCUCCAAGGGAACCUGGAGGGCGAUAAAUGAUAAGGAUGUUAAGCUUGAAAGGGCUGGUAACUGUGACAGCAUGGAAUUCAAAUGAGGAGAUAGACAGAUGGGUCAGGGGAGAAAGAGAGAAUGUCCACUUGGGAGAGAUGAGGAUUCCAGUGCCACCACCGCGCUGGCCAGAUGCUCUCGGGGUAUGCGAGAACACGUGGGCAGACGAGGAGAGAGCAGUAGGAGUAGCAGUGUUAUCUGUGGUAAUCCAUGUUUCCGUCAGUGCCAAGAAGUCGAGGUGCUAGAGGGUAGCAUAGGCUGAGAUGAACUCUGCCUUGUUGGCCGCAGACCGGCAGUUCCAGAGGCUGCCGGAGACCUGGAACGCCACGUGGGUCGUGCGCGCUGGGACCACCAGGUUAGAGUGGCAGCGGCCACGCGGUGUGGAGCGUUUGUGUGGCCUGUGCACAGGGGAGAGAACAGGGAUAGACAGACACAUAGUUGACAGGCUACAGAAGAGGCUACGCUAAUGCAAAGGAGAUUGGAAUGACAAGUGGACUACAAUUCUCGAAUGUUCAGAAAGUUAAGCUUACGUUGCAAAAAUUUUAUUGACUAAAAUGACGAAGAUGAUACAGUACUGCUGGCUGGUGAAGUAGGCUAGCUAGCAGUGGCUGCGUUGUUGACUUUGUUUGAACGUGUAGCUGGCUAGGUAACCUCGAUAGUUUCAGUACUACACCUUAUGAUACAAAAGCAACUAUGUAGCUAGCUAACAUAGCACUAAUCAAGACAUUCCUUUGUAAUGUAUUUAGUUUCUACAAUUCUGCUCGUCGGUAAUAGUUGGCUAGGUUUGGAAAAAUGGCGUCGCGGGGGAUGAAAAUAGCUGGCUAGCUAACCUCGAUAAUUACUCUAAACUACACAAUUAUCAAACUAUGACAAAGACAACUAACACUGCACUAGUCAAAUCGUUCCGUUGUAAUGUAUUAGUUUCUAUAGUGCUGCUAGUCAGUAAAGGUUGGCUAGCUAGCAGUGGGUUUGAUGAUGACUAGGUGUGUUGACUAAGUCUGGAGUCUGGACAACGGCGUCGCGUCGCGGCUGGCUAGCUAACCUCGAUAAUUACUCUAAACUACACAAUUAUCUUAGAUACAAAGACAGCAAAGACAGCUAUGUAGCUAGC
rnacentral:lncRNA from 1 species